rnacentral:rRNA from 1 species
AUUGAACGCUGGCGGCAGGCCUAAUACAUGCAAGUCGAACGAGCGGCGGACGGGCGGGUAAUGACUAGGUAUCUGCCUGGUAGUGGGGGAUAAGGUACGGAAACGGGCGCUAAUACCGCAUACCAUCAGCUGUGCCGCGAUGUGAUUAGCUAGUGGGUGGGGUAAUGGCUAACCUAGGCGACGAUCCCUAGCAGGUCUUAGAGGAUGACCAGCCACACUGGAACUGAGAAACGCUCCAGACUCCUACGGGAGGCAGCAUGGGGGAAUAUUGCACAAGGGGCGAAAUCCUGAUGCAGCCAUGCCGCGUGUAUGAAGAAGGCCUUCGGGUUUUAAAGUACUUUCAGCGGGGAGGCGUUACCCGCAGAAGAAGCACCGGCUAACUCCGUGCCAGCCGCCGCGGUAAUUC